GUUGACUGAUGGUCUUUGACAAAGACAGACUUGUUUUUGUGAGCUCUGAAAAAAAUUUGACUUUGAAAUAUUUUUACGAUUAAAAAGUUUCAGUUGACUUUUGAACGUUAACGAAGACGGACGUACUUUCGUGAGCUCUGACUAUUGAUGAAAAGUUUUGAGUUUUACUGACUUGUACUUUGAGAGUAAAAUUGACUUCGCGUUAUAGAAUAGCGACUUGGUACUCAGGUUGUUGAAUGACUGGAUGACUGUAGUGUUAGGUUAUUGUUAUGAGAUAACAACUUGACUUUGACUUGAGUUGUGAAAUAAAAUCAUACUCUUGAACGUUUAGUAUGGACUGACAACGAACUUUUGUGAGCGUUAUAUAUGAAAUGUUUGACUUACAUUAAUUUUUUUGAACGACUUGACUUCAAUUUAAGUUUUGACAUCGGACUGAUCGGACGUGUUUUUUUAAGCCCUGACUGUUGUGAAUAAUUAAAUUUAUGUUGUGGUGUCAAGCGAUUGACUGUCAGUUGAGGUUCAGAUGUCGAGCUGUGCGGACGUGUUCAUCGAGCUGCUGUCUACAAAAAACGGGGCUGUGGUGAGUAUUGUAGAAUAAAUUUAUUGUAUUAUGGAAUAAAUUAACGAUGCUAAAUGAAAACUGUUAUUGUACACUUUGUAUGGAUAAACGUGUAUGACCACUCUGUCGGUUGGUUUUCAUGAAAGCAUAAAUUAUGUGAAUGAUGAUAUGAAGGGUAGAAUUCAUCAGUGCUUGUGUCUAGAAAUGCUGAAUGUUUAUUGAAAAGGCUAAAUGCUAGCCAGUACUAAGAGUUGAGCUACCGUGGGAAUGUGAAACGAACUGAUGGUGUAAUAUGAUGGUGUAUUGACAUACUUUUCUUAUAUGUACUAAAUAUGAUAUUGCUUUACUUGUAUUUGCAUGCUGUUAACAUUUUUAUUUUGUUCCAGUGUGCUGUGGUGAGUACUGUAGAUAUUACUUGAUUUUUAGUGUCUAUGAAUGCUGAUGUAUGAUAGCUAUAGCAUGAGCUCAAUGCUAACCAGUAUUAUGAGUUGAUGUAUUGUGGUGAUGCUAAUCGAACUGAUGAUGUAACAUGAUGGUGAACACUUACUGAAUGCAUAAAAUUUAUUGAAUUGCGUUUGUUGAUAUGCACUAUAAUAUGAUAAAUGUAUUGCUUAACAUGUAUAUUUCAUGAUGUUUAAUUUCAGUGGGCUGUGGUGAGUACUGUAGAUUGUAUUGCCUAUGUAUAGAAUUCAAUAAAAGAUUAUGACUGAAAACUGCUUUUGAUUCUUUUUGAACAGUUUUAGGGACUAUAAGUCUAUAACAAAAAUAUGUCGGUUGGCGUUCAUACAGCAAUGUUUUGAGUAGUACAGAAAUGUUUCUACGUUUGUGGUCGCCAGUUGUCUGUGAUGUGUAAAGUGAAAAAUACACGGAGCUUUGAAUACAACAAACAUUUACUGUUUUAACACAGAUUGUGUGCUAUGCAUUUUUCGAUGUAGAUCUUUUUCAGAUUUGACAUGAAAUGUAGACCUGACAUUUGAACAGAGCUGGGAAACGAAAAGGUAAGUUUGUUAAAUUUCACAAUGAACACUUGUGUUUUGACAAAAGAAGAGAUAAAGUGAGUUUUGUCAUCAUCAUGGUUUCUUUCAGAGUAUAACUCGUGAACAGAUGAAAACCUAUUUUUUGCUAGAUUUUCAUGUACUCUUUUUUUGGAUGAUAAGUAUGUCAGUAACUCAAAAUCAUACGGCUAGUACAGUAUGGAACAUGAAUGCUUUGUUCAGAUUUUCAGAUGUGUGCUGGCAGUUUAAGUCUGGCAGCUGAAGUGAACAGUCGUGUUUUCUGGAGCUCCAACAAUAUGCUAGAAGGUAAGUAACUAUGUUUGUUUUGCAUUGCAUGUUUUUAUAUGUUUCAGACUUUCAAGCAGAGAUGUCAUGCUGACUGGAGUUGAGCACAGGGCAGUGACAAAGUGAAAGGUAAGUACUUUUGACUGAAUGUUUGUUCUAUGCAUGUUUUGUUUCAAUACAUUUCAGGAGUGCUUAUCCAGUGAUGAUAUGACAGUUGGAGUGAACAGUGGAGCCAAGCAGUCUUGUUUUUGGAGCUACUCAACAAGCCUUGAAGGUAAGUUUAGAAUUUCUCAAUGUUAGUGAAUUGAAGUACUGUCACUUGCUUUUGGACAGUCGAACAGAACAGACGUGGUUGCGAGAGCUCUCAUAUCUGUUGUGUUAAACUGUUUUUAUGAUAUGUUAUGUUUGUUUGUUUGUUUGUGAUGUACUAUUUUUCAGAUGCUGAUGGCAGUGAUGGGUUUUCAAGCUGACCUGAACAGAAAAGCACUCAUAUGGUAAGUACAAAAUAGUUGUUAUAUGGGAUGUUUUGUGCAUGCUUUUAUGUUUCAGGUGUACUUGCUGACAGCGACGAAGACGAAUCAAGAAGAGGAACAUUGUUGAGAAAGUGAUUGGGACUUGAAAACAGGGUAAGUGUAACACUUGUGUUUGUUUAAUUUGUAACAUGCGUGCUUUGCUCUGUUUCAGAUUUCACAUGCAGAAAUUAAACAGGAUUUCAACUGCUGAGACACAAAUCAUCAAAAGUAAGGUAAGUUUUAAUCCAUUGAUUUGAGUUGUACAAUGUGUUCUUUACUUUAUUUCAGAUUCGAGUCACUGGUUUACACAUGGAAGAAGAUUUCCACGUCUGUUACUCAACUCUACAGAAGCAAGGUAAGUCGAUCAAAUUUUUGUUUUCAUUUGUACUGCUGUAAUGUGAUGGUAAACUUAUGCUAUUUUUCAUGUGUGUCAUGUACAGAUGGAUAAUUCAAGUUUGAUCUGUGUUGGUUUAUGUUCAAAAACGUUUUACAUGUAUGUGUGUUUGAAGAUGUUUUGUUUCAGUGGAUGUCCAGAUGGCAAGCAGUACAGACGUGUUUCUUGGAGCUGCCAAACAGUGAGUACAAACGUUUUAUAUUUUUCAGUUGUUUACUCAUAGAAGUCUGUGAAAGAUGAUAACAAGGGUUGAAUCUAUCAGUACUUGUGUCUAAAAAUGCUGAUGUGUGACGGUUUACUGAAAAGGGUAAAUGCUAGCCAGUACUAACACUUGAGCAACCGUGGGAUGUCGAACUAACUGAUGAUGCACUAUGAUGGUGAACACUUACUAUGUGUAUCGAAAUGCUUUUGUUGAUAUUUAUUAUAGAUGAUUUGAUAUUGGUUAACAUUUGUUUGCAUGCUGUUAACAUUUCUAUUUCAUUUCAGGGAGCUGUGGUGAGUAUUGUAGUAUACAUUUGUUUCAAUAAUGUUUGAGUAGUACAAAAAUGUCUUUACUUUUGUGAUCGCCAGUUGUCUGUGAUAUGUAACGUAAACAAAAAACACAGCUAUAAAGCAUACAAUUGUUUCGAAAUUUUAUCAAUGAUUGUAUACUAUGCAUGUUUUGAUUUAGUUCGUUUCAGAUAUGACAUGACAUGAAGAGUUGACAGUCGAACAGAGCUGAGCAAUGCAGAAAGGUAAGUGUGUUUCAUUUUUAGUAUGAACACUUGUAUUUUGUUUUUAUAUGGUAUGUUUUGUGCAAGCUAUGUUUCAGGUGUACUUGUAGUCAGCGACGAAGACGAUUCAAGAAGAGGAACAUUGCUGAGAAAGUGAAUGGGACAUGCAAACAGGGUAAGUGUUACAAUUGUUGGUUUGAUUUUUACCAUGCAUACUUUGCUUUACUCUGUUUCAGAUUUCACAUGCAGAAAUGGUCUCAUAGCAGUGCCAACAGUGAAUAAGGAUUUCAUCUGCUGUGAAACAACUCAACAGAAAGUAGGUAAGCAUUGAAUGAAUGCACUUGAGCUGUACAAUUUGAUGUGAUGCUUUUCUCUGUUUCAGAUUCAAGUUCCUGGUGUAGACAGAGAAAUGUGUUUGAAGAAGGAAUUCUACUACUGUGAUUCAACUCUACAGAAGCAAGGUAAGUAGAAACAAAAUUUUGGUUUAAUUUAACUCAUGUGUUUUGCACUGCAUGCUAUUUUUCAGGUCUCUCGUGCAGUGAUGGAAAAGAAGAAGAUUUCAAGAAAGAAUCACUGCUGCAACUCAGGCCUAUAACAAGGUAAGUGUUUACUAUAUUGUAUACAAAAUGUUUCUCUGUUUUACUCUGUUUCAGGUUUCAAUUGCAAAGAUGUUGCAGAGAUGUUUUGACAGCUUGAGACAGAAAAGAAAUUCAGCAGCUGUGUCUCGACUCUAGCCACGAGGUAAGUCAAAACAAAUAUACUGGUUUGUAUGUAAUGUUGUUAUGCCCUUCUAUGUUUCAGACUUACAUUGCUGUGACUGUUCCACAGUGGGUCAAAAAAGAGACGAAUACAGGUUUCAAGAAGAAAAUUGGCUGUUGAAAACCUGCACAAAAUAUGAGGUAAGUAAACUAUUCUUUUGGUUUGUUUUGUGCUUUGUUAUGCUUGACUAUUUUUCAGAUUGGAAUGGUGGGUCGUUACAGAGCAGACUUUUGGACAACUGAGAAGUUGAGAAACAGAGAAUGAUUCAAUAUCAGCUAGGUAAGUCUUGAUUAUUCUGCAUUGUAAAAUGUGUUUCUUUUUCAUUUCAGUAUGGCUGUGGUAAGUACACUAACUUUCUAUAAUUUCAUAUUGAACUGUUUUGAUGACUUGUAUUAUGCAUUGCUAAAUGUUUUUUUCAUUUCAGUAUCCUGUGGUAAGUACACUAACUUUCUAUAAUUUCAUAUUGAACUGUUUUGAUGAUUUGUAUACUGCUAUGCAUUGCUAAAUGUUUUUUUCAUUUCAGUAUAGCUGUGGUAAGUACACUAACUUUCUUUAAUUUUCAUAUUGAACUGUUUUGAUGACUUGUAUUCUGCUAUACAAAAUGUGCUUUUUUCAAUUUCAGGUCAGCAAUGGUAAGUAUAUUGUGUUUCUUUAUGUAUAAUUUUGUAUACAUAUUGUUUUUUUCAUCAUAGCAUGUUUUUUAUAUUUAUGCUUUGUGUAAGUAAAAUGUUCAUAAAUCAUUCUUAUCUUUAAACUAAAAAUGUAUUUUGAUAUGCAAAAUGUCUGUAUGAUUUCAGUUGCCAGAGGUGAGUACCAUUACAGUUGAAAAGUUAGUUUUGUUUAGUUAAAGUUUUGGUUCACAGUUCUGUUUAUUAUUUGGCAAAAUUUACAUGUAUGCAUUGAGUCUUGAUUUCAGCUCGAUUGUGGACUGAAGAAGAUUGCCAGCAGAGGGAUUGGAUACAAAAUACAAACCCUACUACAAGACGAGUGUUUUCUACUACUAGACGUGUCAGGUUUACUUCCAGGCGAGCAGUGACAACAAGGCGCCUUUGUGGAAACAGCAAAACAAACAACUCUACUGCAAGACGAGCAGUAACAGCAAGGCGCCUGAACAUGCAACACAAUACAAAAAAUGCCAAUUUGCAAACCUUGAUGUGGACACCGAGUAGUCAAUACAUACGUGUGGCGUAUAGCUGCGACAAAACCGUGGGUCCAUCGCACCGAUAACUUGAACAUUGGCCCGUGUAUGGACAUCAGUGCAACUUUGUGAAUCCAUGUAUCUUUGUGAAUCCAUGUAACAUUGCGAAUGUGUGUCGAUCGAAAAAUGUGUACAUUCUGAACUGAACAGAACUCGGUGUUGCAAGUGGCAAGUGUUGACAGUGUGUAUGUUUAUGUUUAUGUUUUUACAUGAAAACUAAAGGAGAUUGUUCUCCUACCUUUUUUUUCCUUGUUUUAUUGCGCUGGCCAGCAAUAUUGAUGUAUUGAUGUAUGUGUUUGUGUUUAAACUAUGCAAUACCAAAAUCAAACAAAAAUAAACAUUAACAGUCAUUAACUGUGUUUGGGCGGCCGAGGGGUUUAAGACUCCACAAGUGUGAAGCGCACUGAUAGCACUUGGGGGUGAACACCUCGGUAUUUCGGUGCUAAAAUGUUUUCACGGUGCUUAUCUUGACGCACUGUUAAGACUACCAACCAGUUAAUGAUUGCUUCAUCUUUAAACAAAAAGUAAGUCUCUACUUUGGCACAAGAGACUCCAAGUACCAAAUACCAACAAUUAAAAAGCAGACGUUUUUCAAAACUAUGAUCGCUGAGAUUGAUAGUCAGAUGGAGUCCUGCCCAUUUAGCUGUGUAGCGGUCUAGGGCGGGG